CUUCUUGUGGGUGUUUGGUCUUGAACGUAAUUAGUGAGUUUGCCCCCAAGUACGACACAAUGAGAGUGCUAAGAGACUAUUCUAGGAAGACUUAGAUGGUAUGCUUGGUGUAUUUGGAUCAAUGUUUGAUUCCAUGUUUUAUUUGUCCCCACCGACUUUCUUUGCUGCAAACGACAUAAAAGGGAAGUGUACCAGAGAAGGACACGUUGGAUAAUGUCUCACUAGAAGAAUACCGAAACUUCCUGUAUACAAAUGCUGACACUCUCAGUUAUACCGUGUACCUUAGGAUUUAUUUAAGAAACAAGAAAUCUAAAAGUUUCUUGUGUUGGGAGAGGACUGAUGGGCUACAUUGGGGAUAAGGGCAAGUUUUACUUGAUAAUGUGGACGUCAAGACGCUGCAAUUGAAGCAACUUAGAGACCAGACCGGCUUGAUGAAUCAGGAACCUGCUCUUUUUGCAUCUACAAUUCUUGAGAAUAUUCUUGAUGGCAAACCUGAUGCCACAAUAUCACUCAAAGAGAAAAUGCACCGACGAGCUGAUGUGGUCGUGGGAUCUAACACAGCACGCGGCGGGCGAGUUCUCCUUCGCCAUGGUGCAGGCCAACGACGUGUUGUAGGACCACAACCAGGUGGAGACGUUUGUUGCCACCACCUUCAUCGAUGUCUACGGCGACCUCAGGGGUGUCGAUGCGUGUUGCUUCAUCUCUAAUCACCUAUGUGUGCAUACUGUCUGUAUGUGCCUCUCUUGCUACUCGCUAGCUUGAGAGUUGAAUUGUUUGGGUUACUGGUUAUUUUUUAGAGCUACGUCCCUGCGCUGUUGCGAUUGUCUACACUCUACAGUAACCACGAGAAAUAGGUUUCUUUGUUAAGUUGUACCACUAUUUUGUGAAUAAGAUAAAACAUCAACUGCUACACGUGGUGGAUUCUUGGUUUCUUGUCGAGCAACUACCAGCUAAUAAAGUAUUUACUUAGGUGCGCUU